GGGGCCCAAAGGAUAUGCUGACUUCACUGACAUCCUGUAAACUGCCGAAUCAGCCAACACUUUUUUGACUAAAAAAGUAGCUGUGAUGAUGCAAAUACAGGGGUGAGUUAUUAUUAUUAUUAUCAUUAUUAUUAUUAUUAAUUAGUCUUCACAAUAUCUCUCAGUAUGAAAUGGUACUCUUCAAAUUUAUAGUAAUUUCAGUUCUUUAAAAAGCCAAACAUCCAUGAAGAUGUGUUUAUACCUUAUCUUUUUGUUUUAUAAGUAGGUAUGGACUAACAGACACAUCCUGGAAUGAUGAAAAUUUAUUGAGAAAUACAAGCUUUUUUGUUUCAGGCGAAUGUUUCAGUAAUUUGUAGUUAAAAUAAUAAAAACAAUGAUAACUGUUGUUUUUUGACCAACAUAAAUCCACACUCACAUGUGAUAAACAGCUUCACAUGAGGAACCUCCCCUCCUCAUCCUCACUCUGUUCACAGAGCACGGAGCCCUCAGUGAGCUCACUAAAAUAACACUAAAUGGCUGUUUCAACCAUAGACUGUACAUGGAAUGGACACCGUCUGCCUCCUAGGUGGGUGAAGCCACACCUUCCUCCAGCAAUCCCUAUGGAGCUGUGGACAAACUUUAGAAAUUAAUUACACAGAAUAAAAAUUUUUCUCCUCCCUGCUGGCAAUGUUCACAUGUAGUUAUUAUAAUACUGGUUUGUGCUCAAGUCCUUUUUUUCUGUAUAGCUCCAUUUUUAAAAGUUAUUAGGGGGUUCGCAUUUUCUAUGAUUGACACUUGAUACAGCCUAUAGGUGUAUGAAGUUUAGGUACCUCAACCGGGGGAUACGCUUUUGACCUGAAUGCAGACAACACUACUGCGCAAGCGGUGAAAUGCGUAAACACAACCGUGCCAGUGGUGGUUUCAGGUAGUGGAGAAAAUCCCAGAAAUAUCAUGAGCAAUUUGUCUUCAAAUUCAUAUAAUGGCAGAAGGUGGAGCAAAGUUGUCCAUGGUAUAAACAGUCUAUGGUUUCAACCUUUAACCCUGUCUUGGUUCAGUGACUGUGCAGGUCUGUUCUCACAUAGAACUCCUCUCCUUCAGCAUUCACAGUUUCCUGCAGCACUUGAACUCAGCACCGGACUUCCUUGAAAAACAGGCCCAGAGCAGCUGCUGGAGCAGAUCUGGGGCCUAUUCUACGAAGCAGGAUUACUGCUUAGCGAGGUUACUUCGAGAGUAAGUUCAAGGUUUCCUGUUUUACGACGCAGGUUCACUUCUUAGCAAGGCGAGUCUCCAUGGCAACGUAACGGCUAACCUGCUCCGGGGCAGGUUAGGUUCCAGAUUGAACUCACCGAGUAUAAAAACCCCGCCCACUGACCAAUGAGCACUCUCGUAAAAUGGCUUGUCCGUUCUUAGAGGAUUCUAUAGACCUCAGUGCUCGCAUUGUCCAAGGAGCCCUCCGGCACGCGAAAGUUUUCAGGGACUGCACGGACCCACUUACUUUUCCGGAUGACCACCUUUAUGAAAGGCUCAUAUGGCCUACAUAUUAAAAAAAAAAGGUGAACACGAUAGGAAUGAACAAAUGAAUUAAUUCAUCUUGGAAAUGAAUUAGACAUGUCUGGUGCAUGUUAAAAGCACAUGUUGAACAGUGCUAUUUCAGGGUGAUAAUGGCAUCAAAGCUUUUUUUGCGCAUUAUACUUACACAUUGAGACUGUCGGCAGUUUUCUGCCAGCAAUUCUUCUAUGCUUUUGCAGCGGCAACGAUGUUGUUGUCAUAGCAAAGCUGGAUCCACUUACGAGGUUGAUAACCAACAUCGUAAGACCGUUUAGCGAGACUGCUGGCUUCUGCGCUAAGUUGAGCCAGGUAGCUCCAAGGCUACCUCGCUAGGUCGAACUUUCUUGGUAGAAUAGGCCCCUGCACGCGCUCAUAUUCAAACAAUAGGACUUGUCCCGAGGUCUGUUCCAAUUGGAGGAAAAAACAUCAACAUCAUGUUCAGUUUCCAUUCAGCAGAGUUUCCUGCAGGAGUCCCAUAAUGUUGUGGAAAUUAUGUGGAGUAUAAAGCAGAUCAAUGCACAGGAGAUAGGAUGAGAUGUGAGGAGCAGCAUGGGCAUCUUUAUUUCGUAGAUACAGAAAUCAAUACAGUUGACACACAAAGUCUAGACCAGAGUCAAUGGAAGGGCCCCAACUUCUCCUUUCACUCACUUCUAAUACUGCUGAGUGGGUUCAUGAACAUAAUAGUGUUACAAUUGUGAGCUCCCUUGUGUGCUACCAUAGACUGUAUAUAGAAUGGAUGCCGUCUGCCUCCUUGCUGGGUGAAGCCACUCUGAGAACAGCACCCUCUGUUGAUGGGCUGCAGUAUAGGUCAUAAAUCCCGCCUCCGCCUACAAAGCUUGUGGGGCUGUGGAAAAACUUUUGAAAUUUAUUACACAGAACAUAGAUAUUUCACCCCCCUGCUUGUGGUGUUGUCAUGUAGUUACAGUAAGACUGGUUUGUGCUCAAGUCCUCUUUUUUCUGUGAAGCUCCGUUCUUAAAAGAUAUUAGGGGGCUCAUGUUUUCUUAUUUGACACCUGAUGGUGGUCUCUCCAAAUGUGGAGCGAUCACGUCUCCAUGCUGUUAGUGGGUGAGUAAAAGGACAGCACACCUGACACACCGCUGACAUCUGCAUACAGUCACAGGUUAACACGGACUGAGACUGGAGUGAUUCUGCCUCUGUGCCAUGUAUUUUUAAGGUAUCUCUAUGACCAUUUUGUCUGUUUCUCACUGAGUUUAUGGCCCUUUAUUUGCAAAAUAUCCCAAAUCCAUCAAUCAGUGAUGAAAACAAUGAGGGGUAUAAAGUCUGCUAGUCCGCUAAAACGGAUAGCCGCGAUCCGCGGUUUGAUUUCAUUCACGUUUUUUUUUUAUUUAACAACAAAACAGAGUGACAACAACAACAAAAACAACAACAACAAAAAAAUUACAAUAAAAAAUACUUUUGUGAGCGAGGGGAGGGGGAAAGAACAUAUAUAUAAUAAAGAAUUAAAAAAAAAUCUUAAUUAGAUUACGUUGAAACAUAUAUAUAAUCAUAACAAUAUCCAUCCACCCAUCUAUUUUCUACAACUUAUUCCCGUUCCCGGGGUCACAGGGGGGCUGGAGCCUUUCCCAGCAUCUUCAGGAGAUGGCAGGGGACACCCUGGACAAGUCGCCAGUUCAUCACAAGGCUGACAUAUAGAGACGAACAACCAUUCACGCUCACAUUCCCACCUAUAGGCAAUUUGGAAGUGGCCAAUUAACCUAACCCCACAGGGAGAACAUGCAAACGCCACACAGAAAUGCCCUGACCGAUUCGUGCCCAGGACCUUCUUGCUGUGAGGCGACAGUGCUAACCACUACAUCACUGUGCUGCCUCAAUAAUAAUUAGAUGUGUGUGUAUAUACACUCACCGGCCACUUAAUUAGGUACACCAUGCUAGUAACGGGUUGGACCCCCUUUUGCCUUCAGAACUGCCUCAAUUCUUCGUGGCAUAGAUUCAACAAGGUGCUGGAAGCAUUCCUCAGAGAGCUUGGUCCAUAUUGACAUGAUGGCAUCACACAGUUGCCGCAGAUUUGUCGGCUGCACAUCCAUGAUGCGAAUCUCCCGUUCCACCACAUCCCAAAGAUGCUCUAUUGGAUUGAGAUCUGGUGACUGUGGAGGCCAUUUGAGUACAGUGAACUCAUUGUCAUGUUCAAGAAACCAGUCUGAGAUGAUUCCAGCUUUAUGACAUGGUGCAUUAUCCUGCUGAAAGUAGCCAUCAGAAGUUGGGUACAUUGUGGUCAUAAAGGGAUGGACAUGGUCAGCAACAAUACUCAGGUAGGCUGUGGCGUUGCAACGAUGCUCAAUUGGUACCAAGGGGCCCAAAGAGUGCCAAGAAAAUAUUCCCCACACCAUGACACCACCACCACCAGCCUGAACCGUUGAUACAAGGCAGGAUGGAUCCAUGCUUUCAUGUUGUUGACGCCAAAUUCUGACCCUACCAUCCGAAUGUCGCAGCAGAAAUCGAGACUCAUCAGACCAGGCAACGUUUUUCCAAUCUUCUAUUGUCCAAUUUCGAUGAGCUUGUGCAAAUUGUAGCCUCAGUUUCCUGUUCUUAGCUGAAAGGAGUGGCACCCGGCGUGGUCUUCUGCUGCUGUAGCCCAUCUGCCUCAAAGUUCGACGUACUGUGCGUUCAGAGAUGCUCUUCUGCCUACCUUGGUUGUAACGGGUGGUUAUUUGAGUCACUGUUGCCUUUCUACCAGCUCGAACCAGUCUGGCCAUUCUCCUCUGACCUCUGGCAUCAACAAGGCAUUUCCGCCCACAGAACUGCCGCUCACUGGAUAUUUUUUCUUUUUCGGACCAUUCUCUGUAAACCCUAGAGAUGGUUGUGCGUGAAAAUCCCAGUAGAUCAGCAGUUUCUGAAAUACUGGACCAGCCCUUCUGGCACCAACAACCAUGCCACGUUCAAAGUCACUCAAAUCACCUUUCUUCCCCAUACUGAUGCUCGGUUUGAACUGCAGGAGAUUGUCUUGACCAUGUCUACAUGCCUAAAUGCACUAAGUUGCCGCCAUGUGAUUGGCUGAUUAGAAAUUAAGUGUUAACGAGCAGUUGGACAGGUGUACCUAAUAAAGUGGCCGGUGAGUGUAUAUAUAUAUAUAUAUAUACAGUAUAUAUGUAUGUAUACAUACACACACACACACACCCUGCACCGCCAAGAAGCAGGCCGACCAGCACCCAUGUCUACCGUGGUGGGACGCCCGUGGGGCACCCCACAGGGCCCCGCCCCGCGACCACCCACCAUCCGAACCGACCACCUACUCCACCCCUAAAUACACUGGGCCACACAUGACACUCCUCUUGUUUGUUGUUCAUGUGGUGCAUUCAAAACUUCACUGUGAUGUAUGCAUUAAAAAGUGGGGUGUGAAGAGUUGGUGUGUGAUGCGUUAAAAGUCGGAGAGGCAUGUGAAAUGGAACUGGCCCAGGGCAAAAAAGAAACUGGGGUAGAGUGGGGCCAAGAAGGGGCGGGGGACGCGGCCCGUGGCCCACACAGGAUCCCCACAUUCUGCUCCCACCAGGUCCAGGCAGCAGCAGGCAGGGCCAACCAAUCCCAGGACUCCAGGGAUUCAUGGGCGUCAGCCAGCCCGCCCCCCGGCGGCACAGGGACCCGCGCCAACCCCCAAUCCAGACCACACUGCAGCACACCACAAUGGCCUCCGCCAUUCCACACCCACCACCGCAAUCGCCACCACCACCACCACUACCAUCAUCAUUAUCAUUAUCACCAAUCCACCAUCACCACCACCACCGGCACACCGGUCAUCAUCAUUACCCCAUCACUACUACAUCUAUGACCCGGGGAGACCAUACAUACACAUAUAUACAUACGCACACGUGCACACACCCUCUAUGUUUAAUAAAGUACCUAUAAGAAACAAAACAAAAAGAAAAACAAACAAACAAACAAAAACAAACAAACAAAAAAACAAAACAAAACAUUUUCUUUCUUUUAUUUUUUUCCCCUCUAUUCCCCUCCCCUUAAUGUGUUUUAUUGAGUGUGUGUGUGUGUGUGUGUGUGUGUGUGUGUGUGUGUGUGUGUGUGUGUGUGUGUGUGUGUGUGUGUGUGUGUGUGUGUGUAUUCAAAACAUGUGUAGGGAUGUAUAAUUGAUUGGUUGGCUCUCAGACAGAAAAAUAAAUAAACAAAUAAAAACACACACAUAUAUAUAUAUAUAUAUAAAAAAAAGUCAAUGACAGUGGACCCGGGGGAUUGAGAUUCUGUUGUAGUAUGGAGAGGGGUGGGUGUAUACCCCAGAGAGAUGUGGUCAAUGAGCAGGUUUUUCCAAUGAGCCAGAUGAAUGGUGUUCCUAGAUUUCCAGUUCAUGAGGAUAGUUUUCUUGGCGAUAGUUAGGGCCAUGAGAAGAUGGUUAUUGUUUUUUUUGUCUAUUGUGACUGAUGAUAAGUCUCCUAGAAGCCAGAGUGAGGGGGAUAAAGGGAUGCAGCAGCCCAUGAAGUGUGAUAAUGACUCGGUGGCUAGUUUCCAGAAGUGUUUGAUUGGGGUGCAGUGCCAUGUGAUGGAGUGUAGGUGUCAGGACAGUUUUGAGUGCAGUGGGUGCAAAUUUCCAAGGUGAAGCCCAUUUUAAACAUUUUUUGUCCAGUGUAGUGAGUUCUGUGAAGCAUCUUAUAUUGAAUGAGUUGUAAGUCAGCAUUUUUAGUCAUGAGAUAAAUGUUUUUACAGAUUUGGGUCCAGAAGUCGGCAUCAGGAGCAAUUGACAGGUCUUGUUGCCAUUUUUUUGUGAUGGUAGAGAUAUGAUUUUGUCAGAUUGUAAUAUUAUUUUAUAUCUUUUAGAGAGGAGUUUUCUGGGGGAAAGGAUAUUAAUAAAUUCUGAUAUUGCAGGUGAAAGGUCUAGAUUUGUGGAUCUGAUGUUAAUUUUUGAUUUGACAGAUGACUUAAAGGGGACCUGCCAUCAAAAUUUCAUACCCAUUUUUAUCAUUUUUUCAGAAUCCUUGGUGUCCUCUGAUCAUGUUUGCAACAUAAUUUUAGCUGAAAAGUUAUUUGAUGGUUUGUUUCAAACCAUUUUAGUAUGCCUAAAAAACCUUACAGGAAAACCAACUGAUUUUGGCUCAUUAACAUUUAUGUUAAUGAGCUUUGCUCUGAUUGGAUCACUGCUGUGAAGCCUGCUGUGCUCUGAUUGGCUCAGCAGUGGAGGUUCUGAUUUCAGUUUAUCCAUUUUGCUAAUGUGUGCUAAAGUAAGGUGCCCAGAUGUCUGUAAUGAUAUCCGAGGAUAUUCGGUGCAGCGGCGGCGGGGAGGGUCCAGUGGCUGCAGGGGCUGCGUGAUCACAGACAAAAUCUUGGUACUAUUUGGUAGCAGAGCAUGCCCCUUGUAAUAACCCCCCGUAACAACUGUUGUUCAGGACUGCUUACUUGUGCUUCCUAUCCAUUCGGCUACAAUAAUAACCGUUGUUCGAGCCCACACGCAACAUUUUUGUUCUCAUUCAUGAAACGCUUAAAUCGGGGACAGCUUUUGCCGGGGGACAGGUCAUCCCCUGAAAUCGGGGACGUCUGGUCACCUUAUGCUAAAAAUGGCAGGUAUUAAACCAUAUAUUUUAGACCCCAAGUCCGAAGAGGAGGUGGAAGUUGAAGAAGAAGCCGGAGAUCUCCAGCGGUGUUUUCAUUCAUUCUGCCCAGCUUUAAGUUCAUUUUCCAGGCAGUGAACCCAAGGAAACACCGGUCGUUUGGAAGAGACCCAUAGCGGUCAUACAGUGGUAGCUGGGUCUCGCUCCGGCUGGAGAGUGAUUUUGACUGUGAAUGAGUACGAGAAUGAGAGAGUGGGCGCGGCUAACCGAGGACGCGCUUGUGAAUAAUAAUGAGCAAGGUCAGCGUGACAUCAGAGGGACCUGCUUUUUCAAUUGGCCUGGUUUAUCCGUUCUUUUAUUUUAAAACUUUACAGAAUGCAAACGACGUAAUGGUUUGUUUUCACAUUUACAACAUAAGACGAACAUAAUAUGGACCUUAUCUGACACAAAAAACACACAAAAUUACAAUUUUGAUGGCAGGUCCCCUUUAAGUUUUUUAUUCCAGAAAUUGAUUACUCCCAAUGCCGUACUCCUGGACCAAUAGGGGAAAUGAUAUCAGGGUGUUAUUAUGGAAAAUGUGUUUAAGGUGUGUGAUGCCCUUUCUUGUCCAUGUGUGAAAGUUGAGUGCUUUUUUGUUGCAAAGGAGGUCGGAAUUAUUCCAAAUGGGGGUGAAGUUAGAUGGUGAAAGAGUGGUAUUUGUGAUUUUGUGAAAUUUCCACCAGGCUGUCAGAGCAGAUGCUAUUGUUAUUGCUUUGAAACAAGGGUGGCGUUUGAUUGAUUGACUGAGAAAUGGAAUGUCUGAAAACUGGAUAUCUGUACUAUGUCUAACCAGGUGUGAUCUGAGUAAUCGGUGUGUGUCCAUUUGUAUAUAUACUGUAGUUGAUUUGCCAGAGAGUAAUAGCUCAAAUGUAGUGCAUCUAAUCCGCCUUGUAAUUUGGGUUUUUGAAGUGUGGCCAGUUUGAUCCUUGGUGUUUUAUUUUUCCAGUAAAAUUUAGUGAUUAUUGAGUCUAGAGAGUUGAACCAGGUGGAAGUGGGAUGGGUUGGGAUCAUUGAAAAAAGAUACUUUAUUUUAGGUAGUAUUUUCAUUUUAAUUGUUGCUAUUCUGCCUCGAAUGGAUUGUGGCAGCUUCAUCCAGCGUUGGAGGUUGUCAUCUAUUGUUUUAAGUAGAAUAGAAUAGAAUAGAAUAUUCCUUUAUUGAUCCCCCAUGGGGGAAAUUUUUUUUGUCACAGCAGCAUCACAGGCAAAGUGCAAAAAUGCAGUUAUAAAAAUAAGGGUCCUAAUAUUAAGAACUUAAUAAAUGUAAUAAUUAAGAAAAAAUUUAGAAAAAGGAAAAAAAGGAGAAGAAAAAUAAAACUAUAAACAAUAUACACAAUUUAAAUGCCAGAAAAAAGUGGUGGUGUCAGUCCAGUUAUUAUUACAGUUCGUUUUAAAGUCUUAUUUUUGGGGAGGAAUGACCUGCGGUAGCGCUCUGUCCUGCAAGGUGGAAGUCUAAGUCUGCUGCUGAAGGAGCUGCUUAAAGCCCCCACAGUCUGGUGCAGUGGGUGAGAGGGAUUGUCCAUGAUGGAUACAAGCUUUGUUAACAUCCUCCUCUCACCCACCUCCUCCAGGGAGUCCAAAGAACAGUCCAGGACAGAACUGGCCCUCCUGACCAGUCUAUUCAGUCUCAUCCUGUCCCUCUCGGUAGUGGAGUGAAGUUUAGUUCUAUCAGCUCUGACAACCUGGAGGAAAUGUUGAUACCCAAAUAUGUGAAGUGACCUGUGCAUAGAGGAAUUGCUGAUGUAUGGGCUGUCGCAUCCCAUCUGGUGUGAAUCUUUGUGAUGUUAGACUAUUAGAGGUGACGGUGGCUGAUGGUGAGGUGUACAGAAUUUUGAUCCAGUUAAUGAAUGAUUCCCCAAAGCCAAAUUUCUGUAAUGUGUGGAAGAAAAAUUUCCAGUUUACCCUGUCAAAAGCUUUUUCUGCAUCUAAAGUGACUAUGAUGGUGUCUUCCCGUUGUAAUGAUGAGUAAUGGAUUAAACUGAACAGUCUACGUGUAUUGUUGGAUGCCUGUCUACCUUUAAUGAAGCCGGUCUGAUCUGGGUGAAUUAUUCGAGGUGUGACUUUUUCUAACCUACGUGCAAGAGCUUUACUGAUGAUUUUCAUGUCUACGUUGAUUAAUGAGAUAGGACAAUAAUUUGAUGGAAAGGUGUGAUCUUUAUUUGGUUUUGGUUUUGGGAGAAGUGAGAUUAAAGCUGUGUUCAUAUGUAUUGGGAACUUAGAGUUUUGUGUUAUUUCAGUUAUUGUUUUCAUGAAGAGUGGGGAUAAAAUGGACCAGAAGUGUUUGUAGAACUCGGCAGGGAAGCCGUCGGGACCUGGUGCUAAAUUGUUUGGCAUGAGAUUGAGUGCGGUAGAGAGUUCUCUUUCUGUGAUUGGUGAGUCGAGUGUAUUGACCUGAUCUGUAUUAAAUUGUGGAAGUUUAAUGUCUUUAAAAAAUGAAUCAAUAUCCUCCUGUCUUGGGUCAUUAUCAGAUGAGUAUAAUUUGGCGUAAAAGUUUCUAAAUAUUUCAUUUAUUUCCUGCUGUGAGUUGGUGGGGUUCCCUGGUAAGUUCUUAGGUUCUUAAGUCCAAAGUCUGUUCCUUUAAGUUGUCUGCCUUGUCGUUCUACCAGUUCAUUGUGCUUGUACUGCUAAAAUUGGACGAUGAUGGGCCGGGGUUGGUUGGUGUUGGUGUGUUUUUGUCCCAGACGGUGAAGAUGGUGAAAAGAGAUGGUGUUGACGGUGUCAGGGGUAAGUUUGAGCCGUGUGAUCAUUAACUCCUUUACUGCUGUUUCAGGUUGGUCCAUGGAUGGCUUGGGAAUGCCGGUGAAGAUCAGGUUGUCUCUCAUGCUGCGUGACUGUAAAGCCAGGAUGGUUUCUUUCACGUUGACUGCGAUCAAUACGAGUGGUGACAGUGGACGCUUUUCCACAUUCCACAAGAAGGAAAUAUUUGAAAUAUAUCUCCUUUAACACCAAUAUUUUAGUUUCUACUUAUUAAAAGCGUGGAUCAUAGUUGUGGAGACGUCCACACAAACAUUGAAUACAACCAACAAGCGAGGUGUAUAGGCUGUCACAAGAUAACACAGGUAACAUGUAGAGUACACCUGACCUUGCACUGUAUUUAAACGCAUUCCACAAACAUUUUCACACUGCCUGUGGUACUGUGAGUACUACCCACGCACCUAUUGAUCACAAAGAUACCGCAAAAUAAGUUCCUCUCACAACGAAAAGGUUUGUUAAAUUUCUCACUCAGUGACAGCUAUAUUUUGGACAGGCAUUUACACGGUCACCAAUUUGCGUCUUCUUAUGUUUCAUGCUUUCAUCUUCAUCUUUGACCCAAUAAACUCAUUCCCCCUAACAUUCAUGUCUCAAAGGCCCUAUAAGUUGAUACGAUCAGGUUGACACACUGGCAAAAACACAGACGAUACAACUUCCGGGUCACGACGAGCAUACCAAUUAAAUAAUAAAAACAAAAUCAGCCCGUGGCCCAUAAUUCAAGUUCUGUUUAUUUGAUCUAUGUUAACUGACGGAAUAUUGGAAAACUAACAAAUUUUCAUUUAUUUGUUUUCUUUUCAAAGAGGGAAAAAAGGAAAACAAACCUUUUUUCAAUGUUUUGUUUUCUGAUUCUUGAUUGAAUAUCAAUUGAACGAAUGGUACACGGAUUAUACAUGGACCCUGGCUCAUUUUCUGAUUCCGAUGGGAUAAAUGGAUAACGACAGUUUUAUCUGUCGUUAUCCAGCUGUGUGUCUGAUACGUGUCCUUUUCUCCUCAGGUUGUUUUGGGCACAGAACCUUCUGACAGACAUUUCAGAUCACCUCGGCACUCCUGCCUCCUGUAGUGUAGUCAAAUCUCUGUAUGAGUUUUGCAAUCCUAAAAAAAAGUGCUGUAUGGGCUCUGAAUAAUUCUUGGGUCUAGCCAUGACACCAAAGGUUCACUUCCGGGUCACAAAACUUUAUACAGUUAUCAAUUUUUUCAUUUUUGUUUUAGAGACAAAUAUUUAGAAAACAGUUGGUUUUCUCGUCUUUUCAUUUUUGGUUUUAUUUUGAAAAUCAAAUGAAAGAAUGAUACACGGAUUAAAAAAACCUGAAGAGGAAUAAGUGAAGAAAAUAGAGAAAAAUCUAAACAGGGAAAAUUAAGAAGAAAAAGAAGGAGAACCGAGUAGAAUAAAAACAAAGGGGAAAAUCUAAAGUGAAAAAAACUUGAAAAAGAAAAACUUAAAAGGUAAAACAAAAUGUGAAAACUUCAGGGGAAAAUCUAAAAAGGAAAAACUGAAGUGAAAAAAAGGGGAAAAACUUAAGAGAAUAAAGCUUAAGAGAAAAAAUUUAGAGGGAAAACUGAAGGUUAAAAAAAACCUGAAGGGAAAAGUGAAGAGAAAAAAAAACAAAGAGGAGAUUUCAAAGAGGGAAAACUGUGGAGAAAAAAAAACAAGAAGGGAAAAUUGAAAAGGAAAAGGAAAAACUGAAGUGAAAACAAUGAGGAGGAAAAAUGUACAGGACUACAUUAAGUUCUGUUUGGGAACUGCAUCUGUGGACAAAGUCAUCCAGGUAUAUCCCAACCAGAAACCAGCCAGGUCUACUCAUUCCUUAAAGCCCGCUUUCAGGUCAGGUGACAAAGCUCUCUACAGUGUGGCUCGAACUGACCUGAAGAAAGGGAUUAAAAAUGCCAAAGUGGACUACAAGAGGAGGAUAGAGUCCCGUCUUGCCAGCAACAUGGGGAGGUGUGGCAGGGUCUUCAGGACAUCACUAACUUCAAGCUGUGAUGUGACGUCAGGAGACCUGAGUAUGUAGCUGGCAGAGGAGGUCAACAGCUUCUUUGCCCGUUUGAAACACCACCGCAAUGACACUCCUCUUCUGCUCCAGCCCUGCCCCUGCCCCUGGCCCUAUCGAAGUACCUGUAAAGGCGCUCAGAGCAUGUGCCCACCAGCUGUCCCACAUCUUUUGCAGGAUCUUCAACCUGUCCCUGGCCCAGUCAUUCCCACCUGCCUGAAGUCGGCCACUAUCAUCCCCAUACCAAAGACAACACCAACAUCUAGCCUCAGCGACUACCGCCCUGUGGCCCUCACACCCGUCACUAUGAAGUGCUUUGAGAGACUGGCUCUCCAGCACAUCAAGGACUGUCUCCCCCCCCCCCCCCAUACGUGACACCCACCAGUUUGCAUAAUGGGCAAACAGAUCCUCAGAGGACGCCAUCACCAUAGCGCUGCAUGCUGUGCUGUGUCACCUGGAACAACAGGAGAGCUAUGCCAGAAUGCUCUUUGUGGACUACAGCACAGCGUUCAACACCAUCAUCCUGGACAUCCUGAUCACUAAACUAGCCACCCUGGGCCUAGACUCGGCCCCCAUCUUUCCUCCACCCACACUCUGAGCACCGGUUCACCACAAGGUUGCAUGCUGAGCCCCCUCUGUACACCUAUGCCUGCAGUCCGGCCCACGGUAAAAACAUCAUUGUCAAUUGCUGAUGACACCACGAUGGUCAGAGGGAAACGAGGCAGCCUACAGGGCAGAGGUCCAGAGGCUAACCCCCUGGUGCUCUAACAAUAAUCUGGCACUGAACGUGAGGAAAACAAAAGAGAUCAUCGUGGACUUCAGAAGGAACCACUUGGACAGGGACCUACUGCUGGCCUUCUACCACUCAUCCAUUGAGAGCCUGCUGACUUUAGCCAUUACUUCAUCUCCCCCUGGUACAAGAGAUGCACCGAGGCGGACAGAGGGAGGCUCCAGAGGACAGUCAAAAAAGCACAGAGGAUUAUUGGCUGCCCUCUCCCCUCCCUGAUGGACAUCUACUCACCCUGGUGCCUCAGGAGUGCUCACAACAUCAUCCAGGACACUUCACACCCGAUUGCCCAGCUAUUUGACCUACUGUCCUCUGAGAGGCAUUACAGGUGCAUCGAAGCAAGGACUAACAGAGUGAAAAACUCUUUCUUCCCGAGAGCCAUCACCACUUUGAACUCCCAUAGACAACAACCCCAGCCUUCAAUAUGAGGCAGCAAGUGCAAUAUACUUACCACUACCACUGCUGCUGCAUUAUCAUCUGUGACUAUUGUAUUUCAUCUGUAAAUAUUAACCGUGACUUGCACUAUAAGAAUCCAGUAAUAUAUAUUUCUAUAUCCUUAAAAAACUAAUAGGAAAAAAAUAAAAAAACAACAACAAAAAAGAAAACUAAAGGGAAAAACAUAAAAGAAAAAACUAAAAAAUGAAAACAGAAACAAAAACUGAAAAGGAAAAACUAACGGGAAAAAACUAAGUGAAAAAACUCUAGAGAAAAAACUGAAGAAAGAAAAAACUGAAGAAAAAAACAAAGAGAAAAAAAUUGAAAAAGAAAAACUUAAAAGGAAAAAAAGACAUUAAAACUUAGAAGGAAAAACUUCGGAGGAAAAUUGAAUAGGAAAAACUUAAAAAAUAAUCACCAAAGAACAACUGAAAAGGGGGAAACAGAAAAAAAUGAUCAAGGUAAACAAAACUGAAAAGGGGAAACUAAAAAUGGAAAAACUGAAGAGGUCAAACUAAAAAGGAAAAACCGAAGAAAUAAAACUAAAAAGGAAAAACUGAAGAAAGGAACCUUAAAGGGAAAAAACUUGAGAAAAAAAAACUAAAAAAAGGAAAUUAAAAUUAAGAGGAAAAACUGUAGAAGAAAAUCGACAGAUAAAAAAGAGGGUGAACUAUAGAAGUAAGAGUAAAUUGGACAAAGUAAAGAUAAAAAACUGAUGAGAAAUAAUAAAAGGGGAAAAACUAGAAAGUAAACUUGAGGAAAAAAAUAAGAGGCAAAACUGACGGGCUGUUAAAACCUGAAGAAAAAAUGAAGAGAAAAAAAACAAAGAGGAAAAUUCAAAGAGGAAAAUCUAUGGAGAAAAAAAAAAGGAUAACUGAAAAGGAAAAACUAAAGAUGAGAAACUUAAGAAGGAAGAGUAAAGUGGGCAAACUGAAGAUGAAAACUGAAGAGGAAAAUUUAAGAAAAAACAUCUAAAGAGCAAAAACUUAUACAACAGAAGAAAAACUAAAUGGUACAAAAUCUGUGAUCAAAAAACUGAGAAGGAAAAACUGAAGAGAAAAAAGCUAUAGAGCAAAGUGAAGCCAAAAAACAAAGAGGAAAAUCCAAAAAAGGAAAACUGAAGAUAGGGAUAACUGUAGAAAGGGAUAACUAAGAAGUAAAAACAAAAAGAGAAAGCUAAACAAGGAAAACUUGAAGAGUAAAAAUGAAAAAGGAAAAAUAAAAUAAAAUCAAAUAAAGCAACCCGAUUGGAAGUGAAGACAAUACUCAGGCGCUGAGACUGAGGGCUGCUGGCUUCUUAAAGUGAUUUUUUUUCAGCUGAAAUAAUUUUUCGUUAGAAGGGACUUCUGGUAGUCGGAUUUAGUUGCUGGAAGCUUUUUUUUCGCUCCAUUCAUUCCGUAAGAAUUGAAUUUAUUAUUGAGCUAAAAACCAAAAUAAAACCUUUAUGUAUUAUUUAUAACUACUGUUUUGUUCUGAUUUAAUUCUGAAGUUUACAGUAAUAUGUAUAUAUAGACUGAUGUCCUGAUAGCCUGAUAAUUAUACAGCAAACAUGAUUUAUGACAUGGUGUGCUUCCUGGUGAGCCUCUUCAGGAUUGCUUGACUGUGGAAAAUGCAAAUAUACAAUAAUUGUAGAGACACAAGACACAUGAUCUGUUCAAGGUUCAGAAGAGCCAUUUAGGAAAAACACUUGAAUUGCGAUAUCAGAGGGACAGGAAGAGACUGAAUAGACUGGUCAGGAGGGCCAGUUCUGUCCUGGACUGUUCUUUGGACUCCCUGGAGGAGGUGGGUGAGAGGAGGAUGUUAACAAAGCUUGUAUCCAUCAUGGACAAUCCCUCUCACCUACUGCACCAGACUGUGGGGGCUUUAAGCAGCUCCUUCAGCAGCAGACUUAGACGCCCACCUUGCAAGACGGAGCGCUACCGCAGGUCAUUCCUCCCUUCUGCAACAAGACUUUACAACGAACUGUAAUAAAACUGGACUCACACCACCACUUUUUUCUGGCAUUUAAAUUGUGUAAAUUGUAGAUAGUUUUAUUUUUUCCUUUUUCUAAAUUUUUUCUUAAUUAUUACAUUUAUUUAAGUUCUUAAUAUUACAUUUAUUUAAGUUCUUAAUAUUACGAUCCUUAUUUUUUUAUAACUGCAUUUUUGCACUCUUUGUCUGUGAUGCUGCUGUGACAAAAAAAAUUCCCCCAUGGGGGGAUCAAUAAAGGAAUAUUCUAUUAUAUUCUAUCAUUACAGACUGUGUAAAGAAAUGGGAAAUUGUCAUUUAACUGCUUCAAAGAUUGCUUUAAUAUUUUCAAAACAAUAACUUGUAAACACACAGUAAAAAAAAUAUUAUUAUAUAUACAUAUACAGGCUUCCACGUCCCAUAAUUGAGAACGUUGCCACAGGUCAUCAUCUGCUCCACCCUGAGUCGGGUGAUGCCAUGGUCUUGAAGUACUUUGAUCAAAAGCUGAAAAACAGUCAAAUAAUGUGAACAUUUGAAGUUAUGCAGUAUGGGUUAAUUGUUGUUCUUGAGCUUUCCAAAUGAAUAAAAACAACCUCUUAACAAUAUCAUCAAUUUUGAAAGCAAGCUACUGUAUAUAGUUUGAUCUACUCACCUCUGCGAGCAUGACAUCAAAGACAAAAUCUAGCAAGUGAAUCUCGCCUCUCUUGAUGUUGUCAGAUAUGGUCGUUGCCUCCUCAAUUAACCGCAGGAGCUCGAAGAUCUAUUGAAGAAAAACAUAGAAAGUAAACAGCUUUCAAAUGUAACACCUCUGAGAGUAAAAAUACUCAUGAUGGAUGGCAUUUUUACUUACGCGCUGCUCACUCCAACAUAGUGUCCUUAUCUUCAGAUGCUGCUUGAGCCAGAGUAAGGUGGCAUUUUUACUUACGCGCUGCUCACUCCAACAUAGUGUCCUUAUCUUCAGAUGCUGCUUGAGCCAGAGUGAGGUGGCAGGUUUCCUCCAAAGAAACAUCCUGCCGGAGCGGAUGUUUCCAGAAAGCAGAUCAUUGUGUAAUGUCUGAAACCAAAGAGCAAGAGACAAACAUGUAAUCAUCUGAAAAAGAAACAGUGGCUUUAAUAACUGAUUGCAACCUUGAUCUGUGUCUUAGAAAAGACAGCACCAAUUCCUCCACGGUCAACAGCAUCCUUGAUCCUGCAGAGAAAUAAGAAAAAGAGCAAGCCCUCAUUUUUUCAUCCUUUGCGUCUCAUAUUUUUUACUGAUACUAUGUUUCUCUGAUAAAUUAUGUUAUACCGAGGAUGCUCAAUGAAGUCCUCGCAGCCACAGUCAAAGGGCUCCAUGUGAAUUCCGGCACAAUCUUGAUGCAGCCAGCCCCUGCAUGUCUUGCACUGGACCCAUUUUACAAACUUUACCUCAGGGUAAAGCGAUCUGAUCAAAUGAGAGAAAAACUUAAUAUUAAACACACACCCUAUCCAAUUGAUUGUACCUCUGCAGCACAUUUGAAUGUAUAAAUAAUUUUCCCCGCAUGAUUCGUGCAAAUAAACUAAAUGUGAAAGUGGUCACUUCAUGGAAAAUUACCGAAUAGGCCCCGAUAAUUUCAUUUAUUAAAUUGAGUCUGCAACAAACAUCUCUCCUGUGGUGUUGGAUGUCUGGUAGACACAGAAUUUCAUGCAAUCUGCCAUGCACACUCUUUGGACAUCAGAUGUCGUCUGUGUCAUGGUUUCCUGAACAAGUCAAUUUGAAAAGUAACAUCAAUUACCAAAUACAUCGAGACAAUGUUGAUCCAUACAACUGUGUGCAUUUUGAAGGACUCCCACUGAGAUAAUACUGUUUUUAGAAGGCAAUUUUCUAACCUCUGUGUCCUGCUGCUCGGCCUUCCUCUUAAGCCUUAAGACUGGAGUAUGCAUUCCAGCAAUAAGCUCCUGACAUUCCUUCGUCCAGUGGGCAAAGAUUUUCCCAUAACUGUAAUGACAAUAUAUUGAUUGUCUUCCAGUUAAUUAGGGCAUCUAAUUUACUUAAACUGUCUACCUCUUCAAAGCUUUGUUUUCCAAGAGCAACAGGCACCACCAUCUCCGCAAAACAGGCAUGUCAUGCUGAAAUUGUUGUUUGUAUUUCAUUUUAGUGCACAAUACAAAAUACAACCUUGAGGAUGACACUGCAUGUUGAAAAGUACUUAUAACUGAGUAGUCAAACUGUGAGAAAGUUUAGGUGCAUACUCCUACUGUUCUGGCAUCGCAAAGCCCGUCUGCUGGAAUGAAUACAAGAAUGACCCGGAAGUUAUUCUCUGCCGCAAAAUUGCGGAAGCUUUGCUGAAGUUUAUCUUCUGGGUCUGCCAUCUUGGCUGCAGCUGGGUCCCUCUCCUUCAAUGCCCUGUGUUGCAAUUCCUGUAGUUAGCACUUCUCUACUAGUUUGUGCAUCUGAGUCUGAUGGGUUGGUGUUUCCCACUGACGGUAACCACUGUGGCAGGUUACCGAACUCUAAGUUGCUGUUUGAGUUAGAUUCUCACUUGUCUUAUCUGCCAGAAGUGCAGCGAAGUGACAUUCUUAUUUUGAUCAAUACUGAUCCUACUUUAUUUGGUGAUGUGCCGUCACACACCGCAGUUUUGGAGCAUGAUAUUGAUGUUGGUGAUGCUAAGCCUAUUAAACAGCAUGCCGCUGCUCCAUGGAGAAACAGAACAGUAUGAAACAAGAGGUCGGCUACCUGUUAGAGAGCAGUUUAGCUAAGCCCAGCAGUAGCCCCUGGAGCUCUCCCUGUUUGCUUGCGCCAAAGUCUGAUGGAACCCCUUGCUUCUGCACCGAUUUCAGGAAGGUUAAUGCAGUCACUGUGCCAGAUUCCUUUCCGUUGCCUAGUAUGCAGGACUGUAUUGACAGCAUUGGUCCCUCCAAGUUCAUCACUAAGCUAGAUUUGCUUAAGGGUUAUUGGCAGGUUCCAUUAACAUCCCAUGCAUCUGACAUCUCUGCCUUCGUUACUCCUGAUGCUUUUAUGCAGUGCACAGUUAUGGCGUUUGGGAUGAUAAAUGCACCUGCUACCUUUUAACGCCUUAUGCACAUUGUUUUGGGUGGGGUGCCAAACUGCAAUGUGUACCUUGAUGAUGUGGUGGUGUACUCAAACAGUUUGGAUGAUCAUGUUUCUGUUUUAGGUACAGUGUUCAAACGGCUGGCAGAUGCAUCUGUGACGCUUAACCUUGCCAAGUGUGAGUUUGGCAAGGCUAGUGUCAUCUACCUGGGGAAGCAGGUUGGACAUUGGCAGGUUCGUCCUGUGAAUGCAAAGGUGGAGGCGGUGCUAGCAUGUCCAGUUCCCACUUCCAGGCAUGAACUGAGGCGUUUUCUGGGUAUGGUAGGUUACUAUCGGUGCUUUUGCAGAAACUUUUCUGUAGUGGUUGCUCCUCUGACAAGGUUGUGUAGACCUGUGGUUCCCUUCUUGUGGACAGAAGAGUGUGACCAUGCUUUUAAUGCUGCAGGAUGGUGGGAGGGAUGUGUCACCCUAUCGGCUAUUUCUCUGUCAAGUUCAAGAAACAUCAGUUAAAGUAUUCCACCAUCGAAAAAGAGACACUAGCUAUGCUGCUUUCUUUACAGCACUUGGAAGUUGACGUUGGGUCAAGCUCCCCUCCUCUGUUCACAGUCUAUACAGACCAUAUUCCCCUCGUUUUCCUGACGCAGAUGUACAACCACAACCAGCAGUUGAUGCGCUGGGCUCUCCUGGCCCAGGAAUCCACCCUUGACAUCCAGCACAAAAAGGGAGCUGACAACGUGGUGGCCGACGCACUGUCUCGUGGAUGAGAGCUAUAAAGCACGUUUGUUUUUUGAGUUAAAAGAUGAGUUAAUGACAUUGAAAAUUUUGAGCAAUGUUGUUUGUUGAACAAUGUUGUGUAUGAAUAGAAAUUAAACUACCCUAGUAGUUUAUUCUUCAGGGAGGGGGUAUUUCGGCUGUGGGUGUGGGUGUGUCCUGUGUCUUCUGCUGUGUGUCUCUCUCUGGUAGGUUCCUCCCCAGGUGUCUCAGGUGAACCUGCUUGGUGUGAUGAGUGGGAGCGGCUAUAAGAAGGCACAGCUGCACUGAUUCUCUCUCUCACCCCUCUUGAUCAUCACUCGUGCUGCAGCCUGCCCGAUUUGUUGACUGUGAUUUCAAUCUUGUGCGUUUUGGUGUUUUUGAAUCCAGGUUUUCUGGUGGCAGGAGCCUGUGGUGUUUCUUUUGUUUAUUUGAAUAGUUGGUAGUGAAUUUUGGUUUUGAAUAACGCAUUGAUAAUCGACCUCGUGCUCGCCUUUAGUUGUUUGAUCUUUUUGUUAUUAGUUUUUGAUUGUAAAUAAAUUACUCGCUUAUACUGAUUUCCUGUUUUCCACUCUGCAGUUAGUCUCCCCUGCCCGGUUUUAUUUUAUUGUUACUUCCCAUCUUCCCCUAACCAUUCUCCCAGGUCGUAGCAAGAAUCAAAGACCAUGUUCUUUUUAAGAUGAGACUGUGAUUAUGAUCAUGAAGGGUUCAGAUUGGGGACAAAAGCUGAGCAUCAAAAACAGGAUGACGGUCAGAGAGGGACAGUUUCAUUCUUAAUGUUUUUAUUUCUAUUCUUUUAUUUGUAAUUUUGGUCUGAAAUGAAAAUUUAAGAAUCGACUGAUCAGUAAAACUGAUAUCAAUAAUGUUAGAUAAUACAAUCUUACAGCUCUCCUCUGCCUCGACAGCCAGAAAACAUCUGAGUUUAGAAGCUCUCCAUACUGAAUAAGCUGUUUAAAUCUCUUAAUUUGAAUCAGUAGCUAACCUUCAGGAAAAACCUGAACUUUGUCCCAAAUCAACAUGAAAAGGGAGCAUUUCUGAUCACUUGAUCUGCAGGUACAUCUAACAGAUAAUUUCUGAAUCUCAGUCUGAGACAUUUGGACUGAUUUACACUGAGAGAAAUGUAGCUACUUAGUCAUCUCCCCUUUUACUCAUCUCCUCUCAGUCCUCUUUCCUCAGUUCUCUCUCCUCCCCCCUCAGUCAUCCCACUUUCACAGGCUAGUGUUUUCAAGUGUAAUUCAUUCUUUCUUCCUAUAGCUACUCAUUGACUCUCUGUCAUUGUUCAAAUGAGCAUCAGACUUUGUCAGCUAUUAUACCACAGCUGGAUGGUUCAUCCUCAGUGAGUCUGAGAAUUCAAAACAAGAAUUUUAUCCUCAAACAGAAAUUUGUUUGUCUGGAGUUUCAUCUCAUCUACUAUUUAUAACAGAAAUAAGAUGUUUGAUGGCUGUGGGUACAAAAGGUUUUUUUGAAUCUCUCCCUCCUGCAGCGAAGAGAAAGGAGCUGUCCACCACCAUUGUUGUUUUGGUCCAUCCAGGUAUUAUGAAAUGAUGAUCCAUGUUCCUUAGAGUAGCCUCCACCUUCCUCAGUGUGCAUCUCUCCACCACAUCCUACACUGAGUCCGACUUGAUUCUAAUCAAAUGAAACUUGAAACCAAACAACUUCAGGAACUUCAGCCAUUGCCUUUGAUGUGAUGUAAACAGGUAUUGUUUUCAUAUGACUGAACUUGGAACAUAAUUUAUUUGUUUAUUUAGAGGGAUAGCCUCUUCAGAAGGACCAACUCAUUUUCAAGGGUGUCCUACAGACAUAUAUACUGUACAGUACAAAUAAUACAAUGCACCACAAAACAACAUAAAGUACAGAAUACACACAUGUAGCAAUCAAGACAACCCUGUAUGUGAAACUCACACACUCCUCGCAGAAAAGUUUCUUUAUCUGGUCCCAGGACACAGGAUAUAAAUCUUUCCAGACUUGUUUGCACUUUUAGGUUACCUAACUGACCCGACCGCAGGUUGACCAAACCUAUGACUCUUCACAAUUGAUUAAUUUGGAGAACAGAAACAUUACCUUUCAAACUGACUCCAUUGCUGACCAUCUAAAUAAUCAUUCAUCCCUCAAUCUAGGUCUCCCAUUUGAGAUUUACUGUCUUAAAAUGUGUGAACACACCAACCCCAAGAAAAGGUUUGAAGAGCUGGACACUAACCUCCAGGCCUCCGUUGUAAAACCCUGCUCAACCAUACUCUGAUAAGAACUGCAUUCCUUUGGAGUAAGAAUACAAAUGACUGAUAAUGACAUCUUAUUCAUUUAGCAAUGUACUAAUCUGUCUAAUCAUGAAAUUUGUGUUAAAAUGAGAUGUUUCCCGUUUUUCUAUGUGCUCCACAAGUCAAGUUAUCAAUACGACAGAAUAAAUCCUUUAUUCUUUAGUUUCUUUAGACCAACAACUUUUCAGACCGUUUCAUGAACUUUUAAGAGUUAAAUUUAUUGAGUAUGAAUCAUAACUUUACUCUAAGUAACAGAAAUAGUUUAGAAAUGUUUGGUUUAUAUUUUAAUCAUUCAUUUAGUAUUUUUAACCAUUAGGUGGUUAUAAUGUCACUGAAUAAUCUGAAUGUGAGUAUUUAGAAUCCAUUAUUAAUCAUGAUGAAGUUUAUUCACGUGUUUACUCUUUUGUUGUUCACAGUUUCUAUGUGUUACUAUCUCUUUCAUUUCAGAGUAAUUUAGCAUGUUCGGUGUGAUACUUAAAACAUAAUGAGAAUGUUUGAUGUGAUCCUAUAUUUCAAUUACACGUGUUUAGUAUCAAAUUAUUUAUCAUGAAACCAAGCAUUCAGUGAUAUUAAUCAUAGUGAGUGAGUAUCAGUAUGGUAAAAGGGGACUCUUUUACCAGCCAAAAGUACAAGUUAGAUCAAAUAAUCAGAGAUCCAAGGUCUCUGCUGCAGAUGGAGACCCCUGCAGAUGGAGCAUCGAAGAGGAUCCAUACGGCACUUGCUUUUGCUUUGGGCCCAAGUGCUGCAACUUCUGGCCCAUCUUUUGGCUGAUUUUCGGUUGUCAUCUGAUCUGAACCGCUGGUAGUUUACUUUAUUAGCUCUUAGCUUCUCUUAGCUUAGCUUCUCUUAGCUUCACUUUCUAACAAUGGCUUCCCCCCGGUCUCCUGCUCGCUUCUGCUCAGUGUGUCAGAUGUAUAGUUACUCCUUGUCCUCCUUAGACGAUAACAAUACCUGCUUUAAGUGUAGUUUAUUCUUAGCUCUGGAGGCGAGGAUUACAGAGUUAGAAAAGCGGCUCUGCACCGAUGCUAGAGUAGCAGUAGCCAGCCAGGACACGGUAGCUGGUGCGGUUGGGCCAAGCUUAGCUUCCCUCCAGGCAGAUCCCAAGCAGCCGGGAUGUAGUAGUGGUUGGGUCACUGUGAAAGGGAAGCAUAGCAGCAGGCCUAAGAAGCCCACAUUUGACCACCAUAUUCACAUUUCAAACAAAUUUGCCUCUCUCAGCAACACACCUGCUGAGUCCAACGCUCCUGUGAUUGGAGACUCUGUAGUCCAAAAUGUGAAACUAGUGAGGUCAGCGGCCAUAGUUCAGUGUCUUCCGGGGGCCAGAGCAGGUGACAUCGAAGGUAGUUUAAAACUGCUGGCAAAGGCUAAACGUAAAUUCCGUAAGAUUGUAAAACAUGUGGGCGUUAAUGACUCCCGACGCCACCAGUCGGAAGUCACGAAAUUGAACGUGGAAUCGGUGUGUGAAUAUGCCAAAACCAUGUCGUACUCUGUAGUUUUCUCUCGUCCCCUGCCCGAUCAGAAACUUGAUGAGAUGUGUAGCCGAAUCUCAUCAUUCAACCGCUGGCUGUCGAGGUGGUGUCCGCAAAACGGCGUUGGCUUCAUUGAUAAUUGGAAGUCAUUUUGGGGCAAGCCUGGUCUGAUUAGUCGGGACGGCAUUCAUCCCACUCGAGAUGGAGUGGCCCGUUUAUCCAGAAAUCUGGACGAUUUUAUUAGUCCGAACCACCUUACUAGAAUUAAAACUGCUAACGUAGCUGAACUGAGUAGUAGUAAGAUAAAAUGUGGUCUACUGAACAUAAGGUCUCUAAGUUCCAAGUCUGUGUUAAUAAAUGAACUAAUCUCUGAUCAUUGCAUUGAUUUACUCUCCCUAGCUGAAACUUGGCUGCGUCAGGAUGAAUAUGUCAGCUUGAAUGAAUCCACUCCUCCUAGCCACCUAAGCUUUCACAUUCCUUGGGACUCUGGCCGAGGUGGUGGAGCUAUUUACAAUUCCAGUCUUGGAAUUAACCCAAGACUAAAACUGGAUUAUAACUCUUUUGAAAGUCUUGUUCUCAGUCUUCCGCAUCCAGCCUCAAAGACCAUGAGACCACUGGUAUUUGCUAUAGUUUAUCGCCCUCCGAGCCCAUACUCUGAGUUUUUGUCAGAAUUCUCAGAGUAUGGGCUCGGAGGGCGAUAAAGGGCGUUUCUAUCUGAUCUAGUCCUUCUUGAAGACACAGUCAUUUUCAUUGGUGACUUUAAUAUUCAUGUGGAUGUGUAAAAUGAUAGCCUAAGCAUUUCUUUCUUGUCCUUGCUAGACUCAAUUGGGUUUACACAGUGUGUACAUGGACCUACGCACUGCUUUAACCACACCCUCGACCUUGUCCUGGCUUAUGGCCUUGAAGCUGAAGCCUUGUCGGUCAGCUCAUUAAAUCCUCUUUAAUUGGAUCACUUUCUCGUAACUUUUGAAUUUGUGCUUUCAGGCUAUUCUCCUCAUAACAAAGCCGUGCUAACUUAAAGGUUGUCUGAAAAUGCUUUGACUUAGUUCAAGGAGGCAAUUCCAUCUGCUCUUAAUUCUGUGCUUGAGAAGAACUUCGCUGAUAGCUCAUACUUGAACAUCAGUCCCUUGCAACUUGAUCAGUUCAUCGAUGAUACCUCAGGCACACUGCGAUCCAUUCUUGACUCAGUUGCUCCCCUUCGACAGAAAACUCUGACACGCGAGAGGCUGGCUCUGUGGUAUAAUGCUGAAACCCAUGAGCUGAAACAGUUAUUAAGAAGACGAGAAAGGAUUUGGCGCUCUUCCAAAACAGCUGAAGCUCGUUUUCUCUGGCAGGAAUGUCUUGAUAAAUAUAAGAAGGUCUUAUGGCAUGCUCGGACAAAUUACUACUCGUCUCUUAUUGAAGAAAAUAAGAAUAACCCCAGAUAUCUCUUCAGCACUGUGGCCAGACUGAAGGACUGUCAGAACACUGCUGAACCAUGUAUCCCAUUAGCCCUCAGCAGCGACGACUUCUUGAGCUUAUUCAAUGAAAAAAUCUUAAAAAUAAGAGGUAAAAUUAGUAACCUCUUGCCUUCAUCAGGUGUCUCUCUCUUAGAUAACCCUGAAAGGCCUCUGGUGCACCUUAGUAACUUUGCACCUAUUGACCUUCCUGAGUUAAAGUCAGUGGUGCUGGCAGCCAAACCAUCUAGUCUUUUGGACCCAAUUCCAUCUAAACUGCUGAAGGAAACUCUUCCUUUGAUCAGUACGUCCUAGCUUAACUUCAUCAACACGUCUAUAUUAUUAGGAUAUGUUCCCCGGUCUUUUAAGACUGCAUUGAUUAAGCGUCCCCUUAAAAAACCUACUCUUGACUCAAGCACCCUAGCUAACUAUAGACCAAUAUCCAACCUUCCUUUUAUUUCUAAAGUCCUGGAGAAAGUUGUUGUGAAGCAACUUUGUGAUUUUCUUCAUAACAGUUUGUUGGAGGACUUCCAGUCUGGAUUUAGAACCCAUCACAGCACACCACUCUGCUGAAGGUGACAAAUGACUUACUCAUGGCUUCGGACAGUGGUCUUCUCUCUGUCCUGUUGGAUCUUAGUGCUGCGUUUGACACGAUCGACCACCGCAUCCUGCUUCAGAGACUGGAACAGUCUAUCGGCAUAGCAGGAUCCAUUCUUUCCUGGUUUAAAUUUUAUCUAACAGAUCGAUCCCAGUUUGUCCAUGUUGAUAAUGAAUCCUCUGCGCACACCAAGGUCUGCUACAGAGUCACACAAGUGUCAGUGCUUGGACCAAUCCUCUUUACCUUGUACAUGCUUCCUCUGGGUAAAAUUAUGAGAAAGUACUCGAUUAAUUUCCACUUCAUCUAUGCAGAUGACACCCAGUUAUACUUAUCCAUGAAGCCAGAAGAAGCAAACCAGGUUACCAAAUUAGAAGCUUGUCUCAAAGAUAUAAAAUCCUGGAUGACCAAUAACUAUCUGAUGCUCAACUCAGACAAAACUGAAGUUCUUGUCCUCGGUCCUAAACACCCUAGAGAGGCAAAUACUUUUGCUACUCUAGAUGGCAUCAGUCUGGCAUCCAGCCCCACUGUGCGAAAUCUGGGAGUUUUAUUUGAUCAGGAUUUGUCCUUUAGCUCCCACAUUCAACAAAUCUCUAGGAUAGCUUUUUCCGCCUGCGCAAUAUCUCAAAAAUUAGACCCAUCCUGUCUCAGAGUGAUGCGGAAAAACUAGUCCAUGCCUUUGUUACCUCUCGGCUGGACUACUGUAAUUCUCUCUUAUCAGGCUGCUCCAGUAAGUCUUUAAGGACUCUUCAGCUGGUCCAAAAUGCAGUAGCUCGGAAGAAGGGAAGCACAUCUCCCCUGUCUUAGCCUCUCUUCAUUGGUACCGAUUAAAUCUAGAAUUGAGUUUAAAAUCCUCCCUGUUACAUAUAACACGCUUAACGGCCAGGCUCCAUCAUAUCUCGACGAGCUUGUUAUACCGUACUUUCCAUCUAGACCGUUACGCACACAGUCUGCAGGCCUGCUCGUUGUACCAAAUGUCUCUAAAAGUAGUAUUGGAGGAAGAGCUUUCACGUCUCUUCUGGAAUCAUUUAACGCUCGAGGUUCGGGGGGCAGACACCCUCUCAACUUUCAAGAGUAGACUUUGCAUCAGUCCAUCUUAGAUGAGCUUGGGCCCAGAGAAGCCGGCGGCGUUUCUGGAUGCAGACCUGCUCCUGAUGAUCUGACGGGUCUGGAUGGUUCGUAACGUACCAGCAGAUCAGAAAUGUAUUUUGGUCCUGAACCAUUCACUGCUUUAUAAACCAGCAAUAGUAUCUUAAAAUCAGUUCUUUGACAGAUGGGAAGCCAGUGUAAAGAUCUGAGAACUGGGGUGAUAUGAUCUACUUUCUUGGUCUUAGUGAGGACUCGAGCAGCAGCAUUCUGAAUCAGUUGGAGCUGUCUGAUAAAUUUUUGGGGAGACCUGUGAAGACACUGUUACAGUAGUCGAGUCUGCUAAAGAUAAAUGCAUGGACAAGCUUUUCCAAAUCCUGCUGGGCCUAAAUCUAGAAUUGAGUUUAAAAUCCUCCCUGUUACAUAUAAUACGCUUAACGGCCAGGCUCCAUCAUAUCUCGACGAGCUUGUUAUACCGUACUUUCCAUCUAGACCGUUACGCACACAGUCUGCAGGCCUGCUCGUUGUACCAACUGUCUCUAAAAGUAGUAUUGGAGGAAGAGCUUUCAGCUACCAGGCACGUCUCCUCUGGAAUCAUUUAACGCUCGAGGUUCGGGGGGCAGACACCCUCUCAACUUUCAAGAGUAGACUUUGCAUCAGUCCAUCUUAGAUGAGCUUGGGCCCAGAGAAGCCGGCGGCGUUUCUGGAUGUUAAAAAUAGACUUUUAACGUUCCUCUUUGAUAAAGCUUAUAGUUGGGGCUGAUUUGAACCAGCUCUUAGUUAUGCUGCUAUAGGUCUAGACUGCCGGGGUUAUCUGGCACACUGAGCUAGAGUCUGUCUCUAUCUCUCCUUUAGAUCUUUAUGUCCCAUAUAAGUCACUUACCAGAUUUCUGUCUCUCUGAGUGUCUCUGAGUCUCUUAGCUCCCACUGGACUAAUGCUGCAGACGGUCUGCUGCGGAACUGCCUGACCCCAGCUGCAUCAUCCCUGAUUGUCCACCUUGGGCCCUGAGCUCCUCCAUCUCUUAGGCUCCUCUGGACCGUUGCUGCAGACAACCCCUGUCCCUUGGUUGCUCUGGACUGAUGGCUGCUGCAGACCUGCCUGACGCUAGUCAAGUCAACUCAAGUCAAGUUUAUUUGUAUAGCACAUUUCAGCAGCAGGGCAAUUCAAGGUGCUUUACAUGAAACAAGCAGGCAAAACAUUCAACACAAUUUGAAAAGUAAAAACAGCGUAAAAGACAUUUAACAAAUUAAAAGUUACAUUCAAAGCUAAAAUAAGGUUGGAGAUAAAAGAAAACAAAGGUUAGAUUGGAAAGAGAGAAAAAAAGAUCAAGACAGGCAGAUGAUGGGGAUGUUGAUUAGAGGCCUCAGGUUUGAUUCAAUAAUAGGCCACAGCAAACAUAUGCGUUUUCAGCUGUGAUUUAAAAGAGAUGAGAGUUUCAGCAGACCUACAGUUUUCAGGGAGUUUGUUCCAGAUAUGAGGAGCAUAAAAACUAAAAGCUGCUUCUCCACGUUUAGUUCUGACUCUGGGGACAGAGAGCAGACCUGCUCCUGAUGAUCUGAGCGGUCUGGAUGGUUCGUAACGUACCAGCAGAUCAGAAAUGUAUUUUGGUCCUGAACCAUUCACUGCUUUAUAAACCAGCAUUAGUAUCUUAAAAUCAGUUCUUUGACAGAUGGGAAGCCAGUGUAAAGAUCUGAGAACUGGGGUGAUAUGAUCUACUUUCUUGGUCUUAGUGAGGACUCGAGCAGCAGCAUUCUGAAUCAGUUGGAGCUGUCUGAUGGAUUUUUUGGGGAGACCUGUGAAGACACUGUUACAGUAGUCGAGUCUACUUAAGAUAAAUGCAUGGACAAGCUUUUCCAAAUCCUGCUGGGUCAUCAGUCCUUUAACCCUUGAUAUAUUCUUCAGGUGAUAGUAGGCUGAUUUUGUAAUUGUCUUUAUGUGGCUGUUAAGAUUCAGGUCUGAAUCCAUGACAACACCAAGGUUUCUGGCUUGGUUUGUGCUUUUUAACAUUAUCGAUUGAAGCUGAGCGCAGACUUUUAAUCGCUCUUCUUCUGCUCCAAAUACAAUUACUUUAGCUUUAGCUUUGUUUAGUUGAAGAAAAUUCUGACACAUCCAAUCAUUGAUUUGUUCAAUACACUGACUCAGUGUUUGUAUUGGAUUGUAGUCGCCUGGUGAUAUGGUUAUGUAAAUCUGUGUGUCCUCUGCAUAAUUAUGGUAAGAUAUUUUGUUGUUUGCUAUGAUUUGAGUUAGAGGGAGCAUAUAAAUGUUGAAUAGGAGUGGCCCCAGAAUGGAGCCUUGGGGAACCCCACAUGUCAUUUUUGUUUGCUCUGAUGUGUAAUUACCUAGAGACACAAAGUAGUCUCUAUCCUUUAAGUAGGAGGCAAACCAGUUAAGUACUGUUCCAGAAAGUCCCACCCAGUUUUCCAGUCGAGUAGGAUGCUGUGGUCAACCGUGUCGAAAGCGGCACUGAGAUCGAGCAAUACUAGGACUGAAAUUUUGCCAUUGUCUGAGUUUAAGUGGAUGUCGUUAAAGACUUUGAUAAGAGCAGUCUCAGUGCUGUGGUGCGGUCGAAACCCUGACUGGAAAACGUCAAAACAGUUGUUUAGGACUGAGAAGUUGUGAAGCUGUUAGAAGGCUGCUUUUUCAAUGAUUUUGCUUAAAAACGGGAGGUUCGAUAUAGGCCUAUAAUUGUUCAUUACUGAGUUGUCUAGGUUGCUUUUUUUUAGGAGAGGCUUUAUGACAGCAGUUUCAGGGCCUGUGGAAAGACACCUGACAGAAGAGACAUGUUGACAAUCUGUAGAAGAUUUGAGGCCAUGCAAUUAGAAACUGUUUUAAAGAAACCUGUUGGCAGAAUAUCAAGGCAGCAGGUGGAGGAGUUCAGAUUUAGUAUGAUGUCCUCCAGAAGAAGGAGGAAAAUUCAUUACAAGCCUUGGCGGACAGAAAUUCAGAGGCUACUGAUACUGGAGGGUUUGUUAGCCUGUCGACUGUGGUAUAUAGGGCGCGUGCAAUAUUUUUGUUUUUGGUGAUGAUGUAGCCGCAUCGUCUAUUAUUGUCCGCCUCAGGCCCUGAGCUCCUUCUUCUCUUGGAUUCCUCUGGACUGUUAGCCGCAUCAUCUAUUAUUGUCCACCUCAGGCCCUGAGCUCCUUCUUCUCUUGGAUUCCUCUGGACUGUUACUGCAGACAUGAACAUCAGCCUCACUGACAUUAAGAACAUAAAACUAGAGCUGACUACGAUUAGGCCUGCUGACUGUAAUCACAUUUAAUUAAUUUAACAUUGUCCAUAAUCACUCAUAUCCUAACCCUGUAAACUGAACUCAUUCUGUUUCACCAGUACAUGAGCUGUUGUUGUCGUUGCUGUUGUUUCUGCUGUCCUUUCUCUCUCUCUCACCCUCGUUCUCUACUCUCUCUCCCUCCCCCUCCCUCUCCUUACUCAUUCUCUCUCUCCUUCCCCUUAUCUUGUUCUCUCUCUCCCCCUGCCCUCUCCCGUCUUCUCUCUCUCUCUCUCUCUCUCUCUCUCCUCUCUCUCCCUCCAUCUCUCUACAUUCCUCCCCAACCCAGCAGGGGCGUGGUGGCUGUCUAACAUGAGGCUGGUCCUGCCCAAGGUUUCUGUCUGUUAAAAGGAAGUUUUUCCUUGCCACUGCUACUCAUGUUAGUUGAGAUGGGCCAAAACCCAUCUUAGGUUAGUUCUUGAUCAUCAAACAAUGAGCGUGAUCUAGACCUGCUCUUGUUCUUUGAAAAACAUCUUGAGAUGACGACUGUUGUGAACUGGCGCUAUAUAAAUUUGAUUUGAUUUGAUUUGAUUUGAAUCGCCAGUAUGCAAACCUCCAAACAGGGCUGAUGCUGUCUCAUCCCACAUGUGGUCAUGACUUAGAUAUUCACUUAUUUUCAUAAUCCUAGAUUCAUCCAGAUCCACAUCCAAAUUUAUCUUUACACCAAAGUUAGUAUAGGUUAAUAUGUUAGAGCAUAUUCACUCACUAUCAUUAAUUUCAGUGCUCCUAGCCUGACUCAGAAUCUUUUAUUGAUCGCCUAUUGUUAUUUAUCCUCAUUAUCUUAUCAUCUUUUAUUGUAUGUAUGUUGUACCAUCAUUUAUCCUGUAAUAAACAGAUCAUUAUUUUUCUAAGUUCUUGUCUGUUAGUGUUCUUCCAGAAGUGGAGUCCCUGAAAUGAGAAUUUCGGCUUGAGAUAUGAGAUUGAUUAAUUUAAGAUUGACUUAAUGUUUAAUUGCUGAAUUAAACUUUUGUUUUUCUUUAUUUUCCCACCAUUAGACGUGGGUGGUGCCCCUUUCAACGAGUGCAUAAAUGUUAUAAAUGAAGAUAAUUAUCAAAUAUUAAUCUUCAGACAUUCAUUAUAAAUUCAAACCGCUACAAGCAACUUCCGUGAAGUGUGGAGAGGAAUCAGUAUCAUCUCUGGACCCAGCAGUAAAACAAAAAGACAGCCAGUGGUGGGUGAUGUGAAAAGAGCUGAUGAACUAAACCUGUUCUUCAACAGAUUUGACACUGCUGUCACACCCACUCCCACUGCUAUUCCACCUUCCUCUCCGCAACAAAUCUCCACUACAACUUCUUCCGUUCCUCCUCCAUCUUGUUCAAAUGUCUCAACCACUUCAAUUGCCUCCUUCCUAGAACACCAGUCCUUGUCUGUCACCGAAACAGGGGUGAGGAUGGAGCUUGGAAGACUUUGUCCUGGGAAGGCAAAUGGUCCAGAUGGUGUGUGUCCAAGGCUGCUUAGAGACUGUGCUGCAGAACUGUGUCAACCUCUCCACAAGAUCUUCAACCUGAGUCAACAGCUGGGGUGGGUACCUACUCUGUGGAAAACAUCCUGCACUGUGCCAGUACCAAAAAAAAAAAGUCCUGCUGAACUCAAUGACUACAGACCAGUGGCCCUCACUUCACACAUUAUGAAAACCCUGGGGCGGCUGAUUCUACGCCCUCUGAGGUCUGAGGUCAAAGACAAACUGGAUUCCCUGCAGUUUGCAUACAAAGAACACAUUGGAGUGGAUGGUGCUGUCCUCUAUAUGCUUCACCGUGCCCAGUCUCACCUGGAGGAACCUGGGGUCUAUGUGAGGAUCACGUUCUUCAACUUUUCAAGUGCAUUCAACACCAUCCAACCUACUAUACUCAAAGACAAGCUCACAGAGAUGGGAGUGGAUCCUGCCUGAGUUUCCUGGAUCACAGAUUACCUGACAGGAAGGCCACAGUUUGUCAGGCUGGGGAACUGUGUUUCUGGGACAUUAAUGAGCAGUACAGGGGCUCUACAAGGUACAGUGCUUGCGCCAUUCCUGUUCACACUGUAUACGUCAGACUUCAAACACAGCACUGAGUCCUGCUACAUCCAGAAAUACUCAGAUGACACCACUGUUGUGGUAUGUAUCAGAAAUGGACAAGAAGCUGAAUACAGAGAUCUGAUAAGAGCCUUCAGUGACUGAAGUCACAAAAACGGCUUCUUCCUCAACACCUCAAAGACAAAGGAGAUGGUCAUAGAUCUGUAGAUCCAACCCCCGCUUCAACCAGUGAACACCUGUGGAGUGGACAUCGAAGUGGUGACAUCAUAUAAAUACCUAGGUGUACAUCUGGAUAAUUAGUUGGACUGGUCUAAGACUAUAGACUUCAUCUACAGAAAGGGGUUAUCAGACUUAAUAACUCUUGUGUAAAUAGUAGAUACAUUUUGGAGACUUAUUAUGUGAGACCACAGACAAUUGAAUUUCCCUUCGGGGAUUAAUAAAGUUCUUCUUAUUCUUGUUUUUAUUCUUAUCUUAAUUGUAUUAAUCUUACCGAUAAGAGAGGAAGAGUCUUUCGAAAAUGUAAACUUUAAGUUGUUCAAGUCUUUUGUAGAAGGUCCUCCAAUUUUUUUUUACAGUUAUUCAUUUGAGUUUUAAAAUGUAGACACAAGUCUUGUCUAUUGGUGUAUGAAUCCAUGUUUCAGUAGCUAUUGUAGUUCAUGAUCACUCACUGUUCAUUGACCAUGAUCAUUUUAGGAGAAAUUAUGAGAUUAUAAUACAUAUGUAUUACGUGGAAUCUUUGUGCCAGAGUGGGUGAUAUCAUCGGCCAGAGUGAGAGAAGUUGCAUGAAGUUAUCUGAAAAUUUCCUCUCUCCAUGCUCCUCCUGGCCGCAAAUUACACUGUACAUUACACUGUACAUGCAGUUUUUUUUCACAGGUGUAGACACACUUGUCUCUAACGAUGUGUUCAUUGUAAGUAUGUCCAAACUAUUUUCUGUCGAAAC